GAGAUAUAUUAGUCUUAAUACCGUUUGCUGAGUCAUGUUAUAGAUGGGUGGCCCAAGAUGGAAGAUCAAACCAGCAAUGCAUUUCUCGAUCUGUAUAUUGGAGGGGAGAAUUUGUUAAAUGCAGUUGAUAAGGUUUCAAGAAGAUGCCCGUGAUACAAUGCCCCAACUCUUGGGGAUGGAAGCAACGGGGAAUCCCAAGAUCCGUUUGGACUUUCAACACUUGAAACAGUACGAUCUAAUGCCAUCACAUCACCUGGGGUAGGCAGAUUUUGUUGUUGAUAAUUUAGGAAGACUUGAAGAUGUAUCAUGUAUGGCUGGACUGCACAGAGAGUCAAUGCAGUGAAGGUCUGAUCGGCACUAAAGAAGAGAGGGGGUCAUCGGCUGUUGGCCCGGCUGGACGUUUUGGAGUUGGCAGAUGACGUCUGGGAGCUGUGUGCUGUGCUGUGCUCCACGUUUUUCUUCUGUUGUUUGUUUUGCUUGUUUUCAGUUUGGGGAGUCUGGCCCGGCUGGAUGACGUGUGGAUGGAUGGAUACCUUGACGCGGAUGACAUUAGAGCCUUGUCAAUGAUGCCGCAUGGAAUUAGACACAUUGUAAUUCCUUUCUGUCGGCUGGCCGCUGGAGGGUUGGAGAGAGUGUUUCAAAUCUGAGAUUUUGACUUUUGAGGUGUAAUGAA